rnacentral:rRNA from 1 species
GACGAACGCUGGCGGCGUGCUUAACACAUGCAAGUCGAACGGAAAGGCCCUGCUUUUGUGGGGUGCUCGAGUGGCGAACGGGUGAGUAACACGUGAGUAACCUGCCCUUGACUUUGGGAUAACUUCAGGAAACUGGGGCUAAUACCGGAUAGGAGCUCCUGCUGCAUGGUGGGGGUUGGAAAGUUUCGGCGGUUGGGGAUGGACUCGCGGCUUAUCAGCUUGUUGGUGGGGUAGUGGCUUACCAAGGCUUUGACGGGUAGCCGGCCUGAGAGGGUGACCGGCCACAUUGGGACUGAGAUACGGCCCAGACUCCCACGGGAGGCAGCAGUGGGGAAUAUUGCACAAUGGGCGGAAGCCUGAUGCAGCAACGCCGCGUGCGGGAUGACGGCCUUCGGGUUGUAAACCGCUUUCGCCUGUGACGAAGCGUGAGUGACGGUAAUGGGUAAAGAAGCACCGGCUAACUACGUGCCAGCAGCCGCGGUGAUACGUAGGGUGCGAGCGUUGUCCGGAUUUAUUGGGCGUAAAGGGCUCGUAGGUGGUUGAUCGCGUCGGAAGUGUAAUCUUGGGGCUCAACCCUGAGCGUGCUUUCGAUACGGGUUGACUUGAGGAAGGUAGGGGAGAAUGGAAUUCCUGGUGGAGCGGUGGAAUGCGCAGAUAUCAGGAGGAACACCAGUGGCGAAGGCGGUUCUCUGGGCCUUUCCUGACGCUGAGGAGCGAAAGCGUGGGGAGCGAACAGGCUUAGAUACCCUGGUAGUCCACGCUGUAAACGGUGGGUACUAGGUGUGGGGUCCAUUCCACGGGUUCCGUGCCGUAGCUAACGCUUUAAGUACCCCGCCUGGGGAGUACGGCCGCAAGGCUAAAACUCAAAGGAAUUGACGGGGCCCCGCACAAGCGGCGGAGCAUGCGGAUUAAUUCGAUGCAACGCGUAGAACCUUACCUGGGUUUGACAUGGAUCGGGAGUGCUCAGAGAUGGGUGUGCCUCUUUUGGGGUCGGUUCACAGGUGGUGCAUGGCUGUCGUCAGCUCGUGUCGUGAGAUGUUGGGUUAAGUCCCGCAACGAGCGCAACCCUUGUUCACUGUUGCCAGCACGUUAUGGUGGGGACUCAGUGGAGACCGCCGGGGUCAACUCGGAGGAAGGUGGGGAUGACGUCAAGUCAUCAUGCCCCUUAUGUCCAGGGCUUCACGCAUGCUACAAUGGCUGGUACAGAGAGUGGCGAGCCUGUGAGGGUGAGCGAAUCUCGGAAAGCCGGUCUCAGUUCGGAUUGGGGUCUGCAACUCGACCUCAUGAAGUCGGAGUCGCUAGUAAUCGCAGAUCAGCAACGCUGCGGUGAAUACGUUCCCGGGACU